rnacentral:misc_RNA from 1 species
GGUCUCGAUCAUAUUGUGUGUUCUUAUCGAUCUCUCUUCGCUCUCAUUUAAAUUUGAAGAAAAUGCCGAAGGUGAAGACAAAUCGUGUCAAGUACCCUGAGGGCUGGGAAUUGAUUGAGCCUACCUUACGUGAACUACAAGCAAAGAUGAGAGAAGAAAAUGUGAGGCUUUGUGGCCUAUUUUUAAGAUAGCACAUCAAAAGAGCCGCUACAUUUUUGACCUUUACCAUCGGAGAAAGGAAAUAUCCAAGGAAUUAUACGAGCUCUGUUUGGAUCAAGGCUAAGCUGACCGUAAUCUUAUCUCAAAGUGGAAGAAGGUUACUCUUACAACUCCAACAGUUGAGACUGCAAUUUUUUAUUAUUUUUAAACUUUGCUUGCUUUGUUUAUGGAACAUAGCAACCACAACUGUGUUUUCGUUCUGGAAAAGGUAAAUAACUUAGAUAACACUGUUAAAUGAGUUUUAUGGCAACAAAACAACAAGUACAGAAAUAAUUUGGAACUGUGAUUAAUUUUGGAAAUUAAAUUUAAAAUAUAUUUGAAGCAUGGGCUUAGAAACUUAUGUUUAAAAAUCAGAUGCAUUUUCUCCUACUUUUGCUUGAUUAAAAAGAAAAAAAUAUGAUCUUGAUAUGAUGAUAUUGGUCAUGUACAUGCGAAUAAAUUCACUUUCAUGGUUUGUGUUUGAAUCGCGGCCUGGUUAUGAAUGUCUCUGUUGCUUAAGAUGCAUACAACCGCGGGAUCUCAACUUUGCAACUGCAUGUGUGUACUGAGUGCCCAAAAAACUGAGGGAGGAGAAGGUCAUAGAGUACGUCCAUUGCGGUUGCCAGGGUCGUGCAAGUGGUGAUUAAAUGAUUUCUUUUUGGCUUUGCAUACGGGAGAUGCCCAGUUGCUUUGUAGUUGGUUUAUUAUUGAACUGGAUUGUAAACUAAACAAAAAUGUGGAUGCCAUCAAAGCUGGCAUUUGCCACAAGUAUUAUUGUUUCUCUUUGGAGAGGCCUAACUAUUAUGCAGUUGUGAUAAUUAGACAUAAUUUUAACCGUCAGGAAAUAGUUGGCUUGUGUAGUGUCUUAACAACUGCUUUUAUACUUGCUGAAGAUGUUACGAAAUUGAACAAAUUGAAGAGUUAGAUUAACAGGCAGCUUAAAAUGUUAAUCUCAGCUAAUUAUUUGUGCCGUAA